GUAGGCAGCAAGCGUUGUUCGGAAUUACUGGGCGUAAAGAGUGUGUAGGCGGUUCGCUAAGUUUGGUGUGAAAUCUCCCGGCUUAACUGGGAGGGUGCGCCGAAAACUGGCGGGCUUGAGUAUGGGAGAGGAAAGCGGAAUUCCUGGUGUAGCGGUGAAAUGCGUAGAUAUCAGGAGGAACAUCUGUGGUGUAGACGGCUUUCUGGACCAUUACUGACGCUGAGGCACGAAAGCGUGGGUAGCAAACAGGAUUAGAUACCCUGGUAGUCCACGCCCUAAACGAUGCAUACUUGGUGUGAGCCAUUCAUUUGGUUCGUGCCGGAGCUAACGCGUUAAGUAUGCCGCCUGGGGAGUACGGUCGCAAGGCUG
rnacentral:rRNA from 1 species